rnacentral:rRNA from 1 species
CACGUAGGGGACGAGCGUUGUCCGGAUUCAUUGGGCGUAAAGCGCGCGUAGGCGGCCCGGCAAGUCGGAUGUGAAAACUUGGGGCUCAACCCCAGGCGUGCACCCGAUACUCCCGGGCUGGAGGCAGGUAGGGGAGAUCGGAAUUCCUGGUGUAGCGGUGAAAUGCGCAGAUAUCAGGAGGAACACCGGUGGCGAAGGCGGAUCUCUGGGCCUUGCCUGACGCUGAGGCGCGAAAGCUAGGGGAGCGAACAGG